rnacentral:tRNA from 1 species
UAGUUCAGUUGGUUAGAAUACCGGCCUGUCACGUCGGGGGUCGCGGGUUCGAGUCCCG